GUAGGGAAUAUUGGGCAAUGGAUGCAAGUCUGACCCAGCCAUCCCGCGUGCCGGAAGAAGGCCCUCAGGGUUGUAAACGGCUUUUGACGGUGAAGAAUCGACAGGAUGCGUCCUGUUUUGACGGUAGCCCUUGAAUAAGCACCGGCUAACUCCGUGCCAGCAGCCGCGGUAAUACGGAGGGUGCGAGCGUUGUCCGGAUUUAUUGGGUUUAAAGGGUGCGUAGGCUGGAAGGUCAGUCAGCGGUGAAAAGCUGUCGCUUAACGAUAGUCUUGCCGCAGAUACUUCCUUUCUUGGAUGAGGAGGAGGCCACUGGAACGGAUGGUGUAGCGGUGAAAUGCAUAGAUAUCAUCCAGAACACCGAUUGCGAAGGCAGGUGGCUGUACCUUAAUCGACGCUGAUGCACGAAAGCAUGGGGAGCAAACAGGAUUAGAUACCCCUGUAGUCC
rnacentral:rRNA from 1 species